GCAGCAGGCUUGGCCGAAAGGUUAAGCUAUCCGUUUAGCAAGAGGAAGAGCAUGGGUUCGAUUCCCAUCUGCUCCA
rnacentral:tRNA from 1 species